CCCUUCGGGGUACUCGAGCGGCGAACGGGUGAGUAACACGUGAGCAACCUGCCCCAAGCUUUGGGAUAACCCCGGGAAACCGGGGCUAAUACCGAAUAGGACUUCCGGCCGCAUGGCUGGGGGUGGAAAGUUUUUCGGCUUGGGAUGGGCUCGCGGCCUAUCAGCUUGUUGGUGGGGUGAUGGCCUACCAAGGCGACGACGGGUAGCCGGCCUGAGAGGGCGACCGGCCACACUGGGACUGAGACACGGCCCAGACUCCUACGGGAGGCAGCAGUGGGGAAUAUUGCACAAUGGGCGGAAGCCUGAUGCAGCGACGCCGCGUGAGGGAUGACGGCCUUCGGG
rnacentral:rRNA from 1 species